GGGCAAGUGGUGGAACUGGUAGACACAACAGUCUUAGAUGCUGUCGCUUCGGUAUAGGGGUUCGAGUCCCCUCCUGCCCACCA
rnacentral:tRNA from 1 species